CGGAUUGAGAAUUUAUAUAUUAUAAAAAAAAAUAAGCCAUAAACUUCAAUUAUACUUACCAACGCUGUUAACAAAAGAUAUUUAUUUAUUUUGCACAUUAUUCGUCGAUCGUAGGUACCAAUUUCUCUCUGUAUGUUAUACCAAUUUUCACUAUAGGUAGUUUAAAUAAAAUAUAUGGACUGGAUUACCGUUUUAUAUAUAGGUAUUAACCUGCCCAUCGACUAAAAACGUUACACAAAUUUUUAUUUCGUUAAAAAUGUAAAACUAUUUAUUUAAAAUUCAAAAACUCUAAAGACAGAUGUUCGUACAAUAAACCACAGU